rnacentral:tRNA from 1 species
GCGCUUGUAGCUCAGCUGGAUAGAGUGUUUGGCUACGAACCAAAAGGUCGGGGGUUCGAAUCCCUUCAAGCGCA